rnacentral:rRNA from 1 species
CCUAUAGAAUUUUAUAUUAACUUUACCUAGCGGUUAAUGCUGGUUUUUUGUUAAUAUUUGGUUGGGAGGAUUAUUAAAUUUAACAAACUUUAUAUCAUUAUAAACUUUGAUUUAAGAAAAUAUAAUGACCUUCAAUUUGAAAUAGUUAGAGUAAAUUACCUUAGGGAUAACAGCGUAAUAUUUUUUUAUAGACCUUAUAGAAAAAAAUGGUUGCGACCUCGAUGUUGAAUUAAGAUAAAUUUUAAAUGCAGGAGUUUAAUAAUUAAGUCUGUU